UACGGAGGGUGCGAGCGUUAAUCGGAAUAACUGGGCGUAAAGCGCGCGUAGGUGGUUGAGUCAGUCAGAUGUGAAAGCCCCGGGCUUAACCUGGGAUCUGCACUUGAUGCUGCUUGGCUAGAGUACGGUAGAGGGCAGUGGAAUUUCCUGUGUAGCGGUGAAAUGCGUAGAUAUCGGAAGGAACACCGGUGGCGAAGGCGACUGUCUGGACUGAUACUGACACUGAGGUGCGAAAGCGUGGGUAGCAAACAGG
rnacentral:misc_RNA from 1 species